rnacentral:misc_RNA from 1 species
CAGUCGCGCUGAGACUCCGUCGCGUCGCCACGCCACCCGCCGCCGUCGCUUGCCUGCUUACUCGCAAAUCGAUAUUACCGUAUUUACUGUUCCGUCGCACAUGCACACUUUUACUACACAUAUUAUUACGGACGAUAAAAAGUUUUAUAGCGCGCUUUUUUAAUAGGAACACAGCUACCUUCCUGUCUUUUCAACAGUCAGGCGCUUCGGUGACAGCUCGCGGACACAAAGUAAACAAAACACGCUGAAGACAACGAGACCACGUUCCACAGCUGAUUUUUGUUCGAACAGCUGAUCGUGAAAAUGAGAAAUGCGCGGAGCUUUAAGAGUUCACGCCUAUUUAAACUCACUGUGAAGUAAAUAAUAGGUACAUAGAGUAUUUUGAAACCGUCUCUGAUUCGAUGAAGUCUUCCAUAGUGGUGGCGGUAAUGUUUUAUGGUGCGAUGAAUGACGUUGUAAAUAUAACGCGAAGGCGACUAAAUGGCGUGUGCGCAUGGUCUUCGUGUCGUUAAUAGAUCUUGUGAUAUAUGCUCACGAUUUGAGUGUAUAAACGAGCGGGUAAACGAAGGCCGAGACUUGCGUCGACGUCGCGUCGCUCCGGGGAAGUUGGCACGGUGCGCGCGCGCGGCGUGUCGUGCGGCGUGACGUGGCGCGCGGGCCCUGACUCGGCCGUGUCUCCGGCGUCUGCCCCUCUCAGUACAACCUUGCUCGCGCUGAGGACAUGUCCGUGUUAUGGACUACCAAUGCAUCGUCGUGUACACCGUCAUCAACAUCGCGCCCCCGCGCCUUACCGCGCAGGCGACGGACCUCUCUAACGGCUGUGUCACCUGGUUCAAAAAUAAAAUCAAAAGAGCGGUAGCAGUGUAUCUUCAUUCGCUAAGGUUGACGCCAAGCAGCGGGGCUGUACAUGGAAAUUUGGCAUGUUUAUAUUAUAAACAGGGCUUCAUAGAUCUUGCUAUAGACACGUACAGACGAGCCAUCCAACUUCAACCAAAUUUUCCCGAUGCAUACUGCAAUCUUGCUAAUGCGCUCAAAGAAAAGGGCCUCGUUUGCGAGGCGGAGGAGUGCUACAACAAUGCCUUACGAUUAUGCCCAUCUCACGUCGACACUCUCAAUAAUCUCGGUAAUGUAAAAAGAGAACAAGGGAAAAUUGAGGAAGCUACAAAACUGUACAUGAAGGCUUUGGAAGUGUUUCCCAACUUCGCCGCAACACACAGUAACUUGGCAUCGCUUUUACAGCAUCAAGGAAAACUCCAUGAAGCUUUGAUGCAUUACAGACAUGCUAUAAAUAUUCAGCCAAAGUUUGCCGACGCUUAUAGUAAUAUGGGCAAUACUCUUCGAGAAUUGCAGGAUAUUAAUGGCGCCCUUGUUUGUUUCAAGAAAGCAAUAGAAAUAAAUCCCACUUUCGCCGAUGCGCAUUGUAACCUAGCAAGUAUUUACAAAGAUAUGGGGAGAAUUAUCGAAGCUAUUGAAUCGUAUAAAAACGCAUUAAAAUUUAAACCAGACUUUCCAGAUGCUUACUGUAAUUUAACACAUUGCUUACAAAUAAUAUGCAAUUGGGAUGAUUACGAGGAGAGAAUGCAUAACUUAGUAUCAAUUGUUGAAAACCAAUUGAGUAUGGAAAAACUAACCUCGGUACAUCCGCACCAUUCCAUUUUAUAUCCACUAACGAAUGAAGUAAGAAAAGAGUUAGCCGCACGACAUGCCGACUUGUACUCAGAGAAAGUUAAUAUGUUGGGUAAAGUAAAAUUUCCACUUAAUAAAGAACGUAAGGGUAGAUUACGUGUCGGAUAUGUAAGCAGCGAUUUUGGUAAUCAUCCAACUUCCCAUCUAAUGCAAUCUAUACCAGGUCUUCAUGAUCGUCAAAAAGUGGAAAUCUUUUCUUACGCUUUGAACUUUGAUGAUGGAACCACAUUCCGUAGUAAAAUAGUUAAUGACUCCGAACAUUUCGUUGAUCUGUCGUCAGUGUCAUGUUAUAUGGAAGCGGCAAAAAGAAUUAACGGCGAUGGUAUACACAUAUUGGUGAAUAUGAACGGAUAUACUAAAGGCGCUCGAAAUGAGAUCUUUGCUUUAAAACCAGCCCCCAUUCAAGUAAUGUGGCUAGGUUAUCCGGGAACGAGCGGAGCACAAUACAUGGAUUACAUAAUUACUGAUGUGAUAUCAUCACCUUUGUCGAGCGAAUUAGAUUUCAGUGAAAAGUUUGCGUUCAUGCCAUAUACAUAUUUCAUAGGUGACCAUAAACAAAUGUUCCCACAUUUAAAAUCACAAUAUAUUGUUAAAACUGAUGAUAAUAAAGAUUCAGAUCGCAAUAUGGCUAUUAUCAAUUGUGCUGAAAACAUAAAUCUGGAUGAAAAGUCUAGUGUGAUUGUAACACUAAAGGUGAUUGAAUACGAAGAUUUAGUGCCGAUAGAAAUAAUUGAAAAACAAAUAAACAUUCCAAGCCACGUUAUCAAGAGUAUGGUAGAUCCAAAAAUUACGCAGGUAAUGGUUGACGACGUAUCGAUACACAAUGGCAUAUCGAUAAACAGUUGUAACAAAAGAGUAGCAGCCGCUGAAGAAAUAUUGGAAGAUAUAGUACUUACAUCGAGAAAGCAAUACAAUUUACCGGACGACGCCAUUGUUUACUGUAAUUUCAAUCAAUUAUACAAAACUGACCCAAGAGUAUUAGAAAUGUGGGUGAACAUAUUGAAAAAGGCCUCCUACCUGGUCGCAUCAUAUUCUCUAAUAUCGCUUGUAAGGAGGAACACGUGAGGCGUGGACAGCUGGCAGAAAUAUGUUUGGACACGCCAUUGUGCAACGGACAUACGACUACUAUGGAUGUUUUAUGGGCCGGAACACCAGUGGUUACACUUCCAGGAGAAACUUUAGCUUCCCGCGUUGCUGCGUCACAACUGCAGGCUCUGGGUUGUUCGGAACUGAUCGCCAAAACUAGAAGACAAUAUGAAGAAAUCGCUGUGAAAUUGGGAACAAAUAGAAAUUA